rnacentral:rRNA from 1 species
GUAUGGUGCAAGCGUUAUCCGGAUUUAUUGGGCGUAAAGGGUACGCAGGCGGUUUAAUAAGUCGAAUGUUAAAGAUCGGGGCUCAACCCCGUAAAGCAUUGNAAACUGAUAAACUUGAGUAGUGGANAGGAAAGUGGAAUUCCUANUGUAGUGGUGAAGUACNUAAAUAUUAAGAGGAACACCAGCGGCNAANGCNGAUUGCUGGACNAUAACUGACGGUGANGCNCGAANGUGUGNNGAGCAAACNGGAUUAGAUACCCUGGUAGUCCACGCUGUAAACGAUGAAUACUAGGUGUGCGGGGACUGACCCCCUGCGUGCCGCAGCUAACGCAAUAAGUAUUCCGCCUGGGGAGU